rnacentral:rRNA from 1 species
UACGGAGGGUGCGAGCGUUGUCCGGAAUCAUUGGGCGUAAAGGGCGCGUAGGUGGCCCGGUCAGCGUGCGGUGAAAGCGCGGGGCUCAACCCUGCGUCGGCCAGGGAUACUGCCGCGGCUCGAGCACUGUAGAGGCAGGCGGAAUUCCGGGGGUAGCGGGGGAAUGCGUAGAGAUCCGGAAGAACACCGGUGGCGAAGGCGGCCUGCUGGGCAGUUUAGCUGACAAUGAGGCGCGACAGCGUGGGGAGCAAACAGG